CUGAUCAUGAUAUAUAUAUGCACACAUUAAAUGACAUAAAUAAGAGAUUAAUAGACUAAUAAUAUGUACAUAUUUAAUAUGGCAUCACAUAUCACUACUACAAAUUACACUAUUUACGUCGGUCAACGCUACUGUUCAUCGCGUUGACCGACGUGAAUAGUGCCCAAAUAAUUGACCCGUCUGUUUAAAAAUGACACCAAUAAUAUCUAAUUUGCGUCGUUUUUUAAAUGAUGGUAAAAAUAGAACCGACGUAAUAAGGUAAAAAGUUUAAAAUAUUAUUUAUCAGUUUGCGUCUGUUGGUAAUAGUCUAUGCUAUGCUAUAAUAGACUCUAAUAUAAUCCCUAAAACCCAAAAUCAUAUCGUACUAUGAUCCCUAACCCUUCAACAUCUUCAAAAUUUCUCUGGCAAAACUAGGCGGCCUUCUUCGACCUUGUCCUCUUCAAAUUCGCCCAGUACUCGAGCCCCUUUCCCUUCGAUCGUCCUCUUCGAAACUGGCCUCCUCCUCUAUUCUUCGUCUUCUACUUAAUCGGGCGGUGACCCAACCCCGGUGCCCUCCUCCUCUCUUCUUCGUCUUCUACAUAAUCAGGCGAUGACCCAAACCUGGCUGCCUCCUCUCAUUUUGUGUUUCGAUAUUUGGGGUCGUCAAUUCGAAAGACACCCAGGAUAUUGGAAAGGAUUCCAAUUUUGCUUAAUGGGAUUUGCAUGAAUGCUUCGUGUGGUUCGUCCAGGAUGCUCAAAUGGAAGAAGGGGUGGACUUUGCAAUCUGGUGGAUAUGCUCAAAUAACGAUUAUCUUCUCCCCAAGUAAUUUACAGUUUUCUUGCAUACACCGUAAAGUAAUUAUCAAACGAUUAUCUUCUCCCCAACUGUUUAUUUUCAUUUAUUUAUUUUUAUUUACAUAUAUGAUGUGGGAACAAAAAAAAAUAGUAAUAAUUAUAAGUUAACUUAAUAAAAGAAGCAAGCUACACAUAUCUAUAGUUUGAUAUUCCAAAUAAUUAAGUACCUUUGUUUUUUGGAUCAAUAAUAUCCCAUUUUGGACCUGAAGCAAUUGCUUUUCCAUGGAUGAGUGAUUUAUGGUGACAUUUGCAUCUUUUAUGAUCUCAUCCAAUUUAUAUAUUUAUGGAUUUAUUAGGUGAUUUUUCUAUAUUAAUAAUAGCCUUGUUGCCAUUAUUAAGCUUUGAACAAAAGUAUUUCUUUCAUAUAACCAAACAUGCCUUAAUUAAGCUGUGCCUAUUGUGUACAACGAUUAUAUAUGUGUGUCAUUAUUAUAAGCUAAACAUACAUGAUUGGACUAGUUUCAAUUAUGUUGAUAAAAAUGCAGGGAGCUAAUAUAUAUCUCUAAAGGUUGCAAUUUUCUGGUUAUUAUAAUAAUACACACAAUUUUUUGUUGCUCGAGUAGCAGCAUUGUAUGUGUAACUAUUUAGAUAGAGAUGAUGAGAAUGCACACAACUAGUUUGUGGCAAUGAACAAGGUAGAAAUUUUAAAAUCUUUCUCUUUAAUGGAAUUAUUAGGAGUAGCAUGUAUAUGAGUUUAUUUCCCACACAAAUUUUCUUUCUAUGACAUAUAUAUUGAAAGAUGACUAAGUGAAGGUUUUUUUUCAACAUUUUAUGUUUUAGCAAAUGACACUUGCUAAACAAGUUAGAGUGAUAAAAGAAUUCCAAAAGCAGUCUGCGCAAUUAGACAUGACAGUAAUUAUUAAGGCUUUUUUGCUUAAAGAGUUGAUUUAUUUUGUUUCUUUGCUGAGUUUGAAUUUGAUUGUGUACAUGUGUGUGUUUGUUGUGUGUAUGUAUGUAUAUUCCAUUGCUCUAUGUGGCAGAUCGAGAUGAUAUCAGUGGCUAUUGACAAGACUUUAAACAAAGACAAAAUAGAGGAUUGGAUAAAGAAAGUACUUCGGAUAAUAUCAAGAGUUAUGAAAGUUAGGAGUAGGAGAACUUUUUCUAAUCACACUUAUGGAGGAUAGGCUUGUGUAUUGUAAGUGCAAAUUUUUACUAUCACUUUACGUAAUAUUGAAAGUAUUAUUAGAAAUAUUUGUUAUAUAGACACUUUAUGUAAUAUCACUCAUGUAAUUGUCUUAAUUUGAAUUUAUCUUUUAUUAAUACAAAUUUUAUAAUAUUAUUUUUUAA